GAUGAACGCUGGCGGCGUGCCUAAUACAUGCCAGUCGAGCGAACGGACGAGAAGCUUGCUUCUCUGAUGUUAGCGGCGGACGGGUGAGUAACACGUGGAUAACCUACCUAUAAGACUGGGAUAACUUCGGGAAACCGGAGCUAAUACCGGAUAAUAUUUUGAACCGCAUGGUUCAAAAGUGAAAGACGGUCUUGCUGUCACUUAUAGAUGGAUCCGCGCUGCAUUAGCUAGUUGGUAAGGUAACGGCUUACCAAGGCAACGAUGCAUAGCCGACCUGAGAGGGUGAUCGGCCACACUGGAACUGAGACACGGUCCAGACUCCUACGGGAGGCAGCAGUAGGGAAUCUUCCGCAAUGGGCGAAAGCCUGACGGAGCAACGCCGCGUGAGUGAUGAAGGUCUUCGGAUCGUAAAACUCUGUUAUUAGGGGAGAACAUAUGUGUAAGUAACUGUGCACAUCUUGACGGUACCUAAUCAGAAAGCCACGGCUAACUACGU
rnacentral:rRNA from 1 species